rnacentral:rRNA from 1 species
CCUACGGGAGGCAGCAGUAGGGAAUUUUCGGCAAUGGGCGGAAGCCUGACCGAGCAAUGCCGCGUGAUCGAAGAAGUAUUUCGGUAUGUAAAGAUCUUUUAUUUGGGAAGAAAAAACAAAUUGACUGAACCAAAUGAAUAAGCUCCGGCUAACUACGUGCCAGCCGCCGCGGUAAU